UACGUAGGGUGCAAGCGUUGUCCGGAAUUAUUGGGCGUAAAGAGCUCGUAGGCGGUUUGUCGCGUCUGCUGUGAAAUCUGGGGGCUCAACCCCCCAGCCUGCAGUGGGUACGGGCAGACUAGAGUGCGGUAGGGGAGAUUGGAAUUCCUGGUGUAGCGGUGGAAUGCGCAGAUAUCAGGAGGAACACCAAUGGCGAAGGCAGAUCUCUGGGCCGUAACUGACGCUGAGGAGCGAAAGCAUGGGGAGCGAACAGG
rnacentral:rRNA from 1 species